rnacentral:rRNA from 1 species
UGGCUCAGGACGAACGCUGGCGGCGUGCUUAACACAUGCAAGUCGAACGGAAAGGCCCCUUCGGGGGUACUCGAGUGGCGAACGGGUGAGUAACACGUGGGUAAUCUGCCCUGCACUUCGGGAUAAGCCUGGGAAACUGGGUCUAAUACCGGAUAGGACCAUUUAGCGCAUGCUUUAUGGUGGAAAGCUUUUGCGGUGUGGGAUGGGCCCGCGGCCUAUCAGCUUGUUGGUGGGGUGACGGCCUACCAAGGCGACGACGGGUAGCCGGCCUGAGAGGGUGUCCGGCCACACUGGGACUGAGAUACGGCCCAGACUCCUACGGGAGGCAGCAGUGGGGAAUAUUGCACAAUGGGCGCAAGCCUGAUGCAGCGACGCCGCGUGGGGGAUGACGGCCUUCGGGUUGUAAACCUCUUUCAGCAGGGACGAAGCGCAAGUGACGGUACCUGCAGAAGAAGCACCGGCCAACUACGUGCCAGCAGCCGCGGUAAUACGUAGGGUGCGAGCGUUGUCCGGAAUUACUGGGCGUAAAGAGCUCGUAGGUGGUUUGUCGCGUUGUUCGUGAAAUCUCACGGCUUAACUGUGAGCGUGCGGGCGAUACGGGCAGACUGGAGUACUGCAGGGGAGACUGGAAUUCCUGGUGUAGCGGUGGAAUGCGCAGAUAUCAGGAGGAACACCGGUGGCGAAGGCGGGUCUCUGGGCAGUAACUGACGCUGAGGAGCGAAAGCGUGGGGAGCGAACAGGAUUAGAUACCCUGGUAGUCCACGCCGUAAACGGUGGGUACUAGGUGUGGGUUUCCUUCCUUGGGAUCCGUGCCGUAGCUAACGCAUUAAGUACCCCGCCUGGGGAGUACGGCCGCAAGGCUAAAACUCAAAGGAAUUGACGGGGGCCCGCACAAGCGGCGGAGCAUGUGGAUUAAUUCGAUGCAACGCGAAGAACCUUACCUGGGUUUGACAUGCACAGGACGCCGGCAGAGAUGUCGGUUCCCUUGUGGCCUGUGUGCAGGUGGUGCAUGGCUGUCGUCAGCUCGUGUCGUGAGAUGUUGGGUUAAGUCCCGCAACGAGCGCAACCCUUGUCUCAUGUUGCCAGCGCGUAAUGGCGGGGACUCGUGAGAGACUGCCGGGGUCAACUCGGAGGAAGGUGGGGAUGACGUCAAGUCAUCAUGCCCCUUAUGUCCAGGGCUUCACACAUGCUACAAUGGCCGGUACAAAGGGCUGCGAUGCCGUAAGGUUAAGCGAAUCCUUUUAAAGCCGGUCUCAGUUCGGAUCGGGGUCUGCAACUCGACCCCGUGAAGUCGGAGUCGCUAGUAAUCGCAGAUCAGCAACGCUGCGGUGAAUACGUUCCCGGGCCUUGUACACACCGCCCGUCACGUCAUGAAAGUCGGUAACACCCGAAGCCAGUGGCCUAACCCUUUGGGAGGGAGCUGUCGAAGGUGGGAUCGGCGAUUGGGACGAAGUCGUAACAAGGUAGCCGUACCGGAAGGUGCGGCUGGAUCACCUCCUUUCUAAGGAGCACCACGAAAAGCACCCCAACUGGUGGGGUGCGAGCCGUGAGGGGUUCCCGCCUGUAGUGGGCGGGGGCCGGGUGCGCAACAACAAAGCGAAAGCCAGACACACUAUUGGGUCCUGAGACAGCACUCGGGUUGUUUCGAGUGGUGUCCCUCCAUCUUGGUGGUGGGGUGUGGUGUUUGAGAACUGGAUAGUGGUUGCGAGCAUCUAAAUGGAUGCGCUGCCCUCGUGGCGGUGUGUCCAUUAAAUGUGUAAUUUUUCUUUGGUUUUUGUGUUU